rnacentral:rRNA from 1 species
GGUUAAGCGACUAAGCGUACACGGUGGAUGCCCUGGCAGUCAGAGGCGAUGAAGGACGUGCUAAUCUGCGAAAAGCGUCGGUAAGGUGAUAUGAACCGUUAUAACCGGCGAUGUCCGAAUGGGGAAACCCAGUGUGUUUCGACACACUAUCAUUAACUGAAUCCAUAGGUUAAUGAGGCGAACCGGGGGAACUGAAACAUCUAAGUACCCCGAGGAAAAGAAAUCAACCGAGAUUCCCCCAGUAGCGGCGAGCGAACGGGGAGGAGCCCAGAGCCUGAAUCAGUGUGUGUGUUAGUGGAAGCGUCUGGAAAGGCGUGCGAUACAGGGUGACAGCCCCGUACACAAAAAUGCACAUGCUGUGAGCUCGAUGAGUAGGGCGGGACACGUGGUAUCCUGUCUGAAUAUGGGGGGACCAUCCUCCAAGGCUAAAUACUCCUGACUGACCGAUAGUGAACCAGUACCGUGAGGGAAAGGCGAAAAGAACCCCGGCGAGGGGAGUGAAAAAGAACCUGAAACCGUGUACGUACAAGCAGUGGGAGCCUCUUUAUGGGGUGACUGCGUACCUUUUGUAUAAUGGGUCAGCGACUUAUAUUCUGUAGCAAGGUUAACCGAAUAGGGGAGCCGGAGGGAAACCGAGUCUUAACUGGGCGUUAAGUUGCAGGGUAUAGACCCGAAACCCGGUGAUCUAGCCAUGGGCAGGUUGAAGGUUGGGUAACACUAACUGGAGGACCGAACCGACUAAUGUUGAAAAAUUAGCGGAUGACUUGUGGCUGGGGGUGAAAGGCCAAUCAAACCGGGAGAUAGCUGGUUCUCCCCGAAAGCUAUUUAGGUAGCGCCUCGUGAAUUCAUCUCCGGGGGUAGAGCACUGUUUCGGCAAGGGGGUCAUCCCGACUUACCAACCCGAUGCAAACUGCGAAUACCGGAGAAUGUUAUCACGGGAGACACACGGCGGGUGCUAACGUCCGUCCGUCGUGAAGAGGGAAACAACCCAGACCGCCAGCUAAGGUCCCAAAGUCAUGGUUAAGUGGGAAACGAUGUGGGAAGGCCCAGACAGCCAGGAUGUUGGCUUAGAAGCAGCCAUCAUUUAAAGAAAGCGUAAUAGCUCACUGGUCGAGUCGGCCUGCGCGGAAGAUGUAACGGGGCUAAACCAUGCACCGAAGCUGCGGCAGCGACGCUGAUGCGUUGUUGGGUAGGGGAGCGUUCUGUAAGCCUGUGAAGGUGUGCUGUGAGGCAUGCUGGAGGUAUCAGAAGUGCGAAUGCUGACAUAAGUAACGAUAAAGCGGGUGAAAAGCCCGCUCGCCGGAAGACCAAGGGUUCCUGUCCAACGUUAAUCGGGGCAGGGUGAGUCGACCCCUAAGGCGAGGCCGAAAGGCGUAGUCGAUGGGAAACAGGUUAAUAUUCCUGUACUUGGUGUUACUGCGAAGGGGGGACGGAGAAGGCUAUGUUGGCCGGGCGACGGUGUCCCGGUUUAAGCGUGUAGGCUGGUUUUCCAGGCAAAUCCGGAGAAUCAAGGCUGAGGCGUGAUGACGAGGCACUACGGUGCUGAAGCAACAAAUGCCCUGCUUCCAGGAAAAGCCUCUAAGCAUCAGGUAACAUCAAAUCGUACCCCAAACCGACACAGGUGGUCAGGUAGAGAAUACCAAGGCGCUUGAGAGAACUCGGGUGAAGGAACUAGGCAAAAUGGUGCCGUAACUUCGGGAGAAGGCACGCUGAUAUGUAGGUGAAGCGACUUGCUCGUGGAGCUGAAAUCAGUCGAAGAUACCAGCUGGCUGCAACUGUUUAUUAAAAACACAGCACUGUGCAAACACGAAAGUGGACGUAUACGGUGUGACGCCUGCCCGGUGCCGGAAGGUUAAUUGAUGGGGUCAGCGCAAGCGAAGCUCUUGAUCGAAGCCCCGGUAAACGGCGGCCGUAACUAUAACGGUCCUAAGGUAGCGAAAUUCCUUGUCGGGUAAGUUCCGACCUGCACGAAUGGCGUAAUGAUGGCCAGGCUGUCUCCACCCGAGACUCAGUGAAAUUGAACUCGCUGUGAAGAUGCAGUGUACCCGCGGCAAGACGGAAAGACCCCGUGAACCUUUACUAUAGCUUGACACUGAACACUGGUCCUUGAUGUGUAGGAUAGGUGGGAGGCUUUGAAGUGUGGACGCCAGUCUGCAUGGAGCCGUCCUUGAAAUACCACCCUUUAAUGGCUGGUGUUCUAACGUAGGCCCCUUAUCGGGGUUGCGGACAGUGUCUGGUGGGUAGUUUGACUGGGGCGGUCUCCUCCUAAAGAGUAACGGAGGAGCACGAAGGUUGGCUAAUCCUGGUCGGACAUCAGGAGGUUAGUGCAAUGGCAUAAGCCAGCUUGACUGCGAGCGUGACGGCGCGAGCAGGUGCGAAAGCAGGUCAUAGUGAUCCGGUGGUUCUGAAUGGAAGGGCCAUCGCUCAACGGAUAAAAGGUACUCCGGGGAUAACAGGCUGAUACCGCCCAAGAGUUCAUAUCGACGGCGGUGUUUGGCACCUCGAUGUCGGCUCAUCACAUCCUGGGGCUGAAGUAGGUCCCAAGGGUAUGGCUGUUCGCCAUUUAAAGUGGUACGCGAGCUGGGUUUAGAACGUCGUGAGACAGUUCGGUCCCUAUCUGCCGUGGGCGCUGGAGAACUGAGGGGGGCUGCUCCUAGUACGAGAGGACCGGAGUGGACGCAUCACUGGUGUUCGGGUUGUCAUGCCAAUGGCACUGCCCGGUAGCUAAAUGCGGAAGAGAUAAGUGCUGAAAGCAUCUAAGCACGAAACUUGCCCCGAGAUGAGUUCUCCCUGACCCUUUAAGGGUCCUGAAGGAACGUUGAAGACGACGACGUUGAUAGGCCGGGUGUGUAAGCGCAGCGAUGCGUUGAGCUAACCGGUACUAAUGAACCGUGAGGCUUAACCUU